rnacentral:lncRNA from 1 species
AGGAUCGAUGAAGAGAAUAAUAAAAUCGUGGAUUGGAUGAGAGAAUUGAUCUCGACUGACUACGAACGAACACUUGAUAAAACGUUUCUUAUACACUUUCUCGAAGUUAUAAUAUUUGUGUUUUGAAUUCCUCUCAACACUCGGGGGUAUUACAUAAUAUUUAAGCGAAAGAGAGAAAUAACAGCGUGCGUUAGAUCUCUCCCAGAGAUUCUAGAAGAUCUAGACGUUCUAACACGAGUUUACAACGAACGAACGAACGAACAAGGCAAGAAGAACUCUCAAAAGACGAAAUGUAUUUUGCUUGUGAAAGUAAAAACGAUUUCUCGAAAAGCUGUAAUAGUUUAAAGCGAACUCAAUCGAUUCCGGGUAACGCGUCUCUUAGAUAUCUCGCGACAAAUUAAUCGAAUACCUUCGUUAGAUCGUGUGAGAAAAAAACUAGCCGAGGAAUUCCGUGCUCGCAAGCUUGGAUUCUUGUCGUAGCCCACGCGUGACAACGAGCCUUCUACCAACCAACAGAAAGAGACUCCACCACUCACUUUACUUCUCAAAGAAGGUUCUCAUCUCGAGUUUAGAUUCUAUCAUCAAAAACAAAACAAGUUUGAAAAGGACGAAUCGGCUCACGUGACACAUUCAAUAUGGCGGCCAGCGCGCGAAAACAACAAAGAUUCGAAAUCCCGUCGAAGAAAUCAAUGAAUAAAUUGAAAUAAUUUUGUCGAAUCUC